rnacentral:lncRNA from 1 species
UCAGUCUUCAGAUAUUAGUGACGAUGUGAAAUUAUUUGUGUAAAAUUUUGAGCAAUUUCGUUUGGGUUCUUUUGUAAUUUUGAUAAUUAUUUUAACUCUAUUUUAAUGACCACUUAGGCUUUAAUCCUUUAUUAUUUCCAGUCUUCUCCAGUCCUGUUCUGCAAAACAACACAUUGAUUGCUAAAGAUGCCUGAAAGCCAUGGUAAGAAGAGAAACAGCAUCCUUCGUGAAAUCAUCAAAGAUCUUUCGGCGGGCAAUUACUUAGGCAAAAGUGGAUCUGAAAAGAAGAUAAGUAAGGAUGGGCAAGGAGAUUCUUCCAGCCAAAACCCAGACAAAGCUAGCGACGACUGACACCAAGCCGACGCUUGCGAAAUAAUAAGAAUAAGAUCCAGAUGCUCAUGCUCCUGGAGGUCUGGAGUCACCACCAUAUAUAGUUCUGUACUUCUGUUAGUGAUAGCUUUCUCUCUCUGUUAUUAUAUAUAUAGUUUCUGUACUUCUGUUGGUAAUAGCUUUCUAUCUUAUGUAUGGUUUUAUCAUUGCUUUAAACAACUGAACCGAUUAGUAUAAUUAUCUUAGAACAUACUAAAUCUUUUUAUUCAAAUUUUCCAAAUCUUUAUUUUGAUAGUAGAAUUAUACUAACAAAAAUUUCCAAAAUCCAUCAACAGAAAAUAAUUUUACAUGACAGAUUUAUAAAUACAUCUUCCGUAAUUGAUACGAAAUAAAUUUCAAAAAUCAAAUUAAAUAGUUUAUUUUUCAAAUUAUGGAACCCAAAACAAAAGCUUAAGGAUCCUAAAAAAAUUAAGAUAUGCUGCUUAACAGUAGCAAACACACGGUAUUCUUUAGUAAAAGGCGAAAGAAUAGUUCGCUAUGUAUUCACC